rnacentral:rRNA from 1 species
GUGGGGAACCUGCCCCUAAGUCUGGGAUACCAUUUGGAAACAGGUGCUAAUACCGGAUAAUAAAGCAGAUCGCAUGAUCAGCUUUUGAAAGGCGGCGUAAGCUGUCGCUAAGGGAUGGCCCCGCGGUGCAUUAGCUAGUUGGUAAGGUAACGGCUUACCAAGGCGACGAUGCAUAGCCGAGUUGAGAGACUGAUCGGCCACAUUGGGACUGAGACACGGCCCAAACUCCUACGGGAGGCAGCAGUAGGGAAUCUUCCACAAUGGACGCAAGUCUGAUGGAGCAACGCCGCGUGAGUGAAGAAGGUUUUCGGAUCGUAAAGCUCUGUUGUUGGUGAAGAAGGAUAGAGGUAGUAACUGGCCUUUAUUUGACGGUAAUCAACCAGAAAGUCACGGCUAACUACGUGCCAGCAGCCGCGGUAAUACGUAGGUGGCAAGCGUUGUCCGGAUUUAUUGGGCGUAAAGCGAGCGCAGGCGGAAAAAUAAGUCUAAUGUGAAAGCCCUCGGCUUAACCGAGGAACUGCAUCGGAAACUGUUUUUCUUGAGUGCAGAA